UACGGGGGGGGCAAGCGUUGUUCGGAAUUACUGGGCGUAAAGCGCGCGUAGGCGGUUACUCAAGUCGGAUGUGAAAGCCCUCGGCUUAACUGAGGAAGUGCACCCGAAACUGAGUAGCUAGAGUACCAAAGAGGGUCGCGGAAUUCCCGGUGUAGAGGUGAAAUUCGUAGAUAUCGGGAGGAACACCGGUGGCGAAGGCGGCGACCUGGGUGGAUACUGACGCUGAGGCGCGAAAGCGUGGGGAGCAAACAGG
rnacentral:rRNA from 1 species